UCCUUUUCGUGACUUCAGACUCUCCUUGAUUCAUAUCCACUGUUGCUGCAAUGAUACUGGGACAGAAAUGCAGCUAGAAAAGCCAGAAAUGCAGCAGAAAAAUCUGCUGAAGUUCCUGGGCUUGGUUAUGUCUUUUACUUGAGGAGCCAGUAUUUAAUCAUUCAUUUUCUGUUUUCAGUGUGAGUGUUGAGUUCUGAUUCAGUUUUGAUUCUCAGGGUAAUUUUAAAAUGAACUGGGCCUGCUGCAGGCAUUGUGUCUGUAUCAGGGAGGCGGAAGGAAGGAAAGGAGAGAAGAGUUUUGAUCCACCAAUGAUAAACACUUAAUUUUUGUUUUUUAACUGAAUUUAGUGAUCAAAAAGAUAUUAAACUGACAGCUCUGGAGAAAGAUUACUCCCCAAUUUAUUCACCUCAAAUAACACUUUUACGUAAAAGAUAUCAUAGAAACUUAGAUGGCAGGAAAUGCUCUGUAAAGAAAGCUGUUACUUGGACUCUUCUGUGUGCUGUUCCUUUUAUAGAAGUGUAUUUCAGAAGCUAAUGGCAAUUUCAAAAUAAAACAUUUUUUGUGCAAUGAUCAUUUACUGGACCGCUUCACUUUUCUACAUAGUCAUCCUGCUUUGCAAUACAGAUAUUAAGGAACUUAUGGCUCACAAGAUUCUUGAUACUGUUCUCAAAGACAUUUUUUGGUUGCUGUGACAGCCACUCCAGUACUGUGGCUGGUGAGACUUUGGGGGCCUGGGUUUUGAAAUUUUGUUACAUCUGCCCUACAGUCCUAAUAGGCAUGGUGCACCAAGUGAUUAUCACCUGUUUGGGCUGUUGAAGGAGGUUCUUUAUGGGCCCAGAUUCGCAAGUGAUGCAGAGAUGCAACUUGCAUUACAGGAGUGCCUACCAGAGCAGCCAAAAAGUUUCUUUGAGGAUGUUAUCAAGGAAUGUGUGACUUCCUGGAAUACCUGUGUUGCAAAACAGGAUGAAAGGAUGUGAUUCGGUAAAAGAUCACUGCACACAGAAUGAUUCUAUUUUGCAAUUGUAUAUGAGUCCUUGUCUAACCUAUUCCUGUUUCUGAACAGCCUUGUACAACUAUCCAGCAGAUUGAUAAAGAGAUGUUGAUGCUAAACAGCACUCCUACGAAAGAAGGUGGGAGGGAAUUUUCUCACAGGGGCAGGGGAGACAACAAGUGUGUAGGUGGGUGGGUGAAAUGAAAAUAGUAUAUUUAAAUACUGAGUAAAAAAACUCUCAAAACAGGUGCUUUUUGUUUUCAGAGUCAAAAAAGAAACUAUGAGAAGAAACUAUGCGGUUAUUUGUGGGCCUGAUGCAAAAAGUAAAUCUCAUGUGCUAGUCUCUUUCUAUAGGGAGUGUUUUUAUAUCUGAGAGUCAUUAAGGAACUGAGAGAUGGAACUUAUUUAGCAGGGCCACAUCAUGGCCCCCCACACCCACACCGUUCCACUUGUUUUCUACUACUGCUUUUUUAACUGGCCAGUUUUUGGGGGGCCUUCUUCCAGUGAAGUAGAACCCCUACGUAGUGUAGAAAUCAUACUACAACUUUUAACCACAUUCUUUUCUGAAAUGGGAAAUAGUUGUGUAAAAGGUACAUUGCUGAAUUCUCACAAUUUUCAGCUUUGGAAUGACUUCUUGGGUGCAGUUAUUGGUCAUGACACUUGAAACCCAACCUGAGCCUGGUUUAAAUUAAAAUAGGAUUAUAAUUGCCCCCUUGGAUAUUCCCAAUUUUAGCUGAUAGGGCAUGAAGAUGGAGUAACGCCAUUUCUGCUGCCCACUCCAUCAGCUUCACCAAGAAGCAGAAACAUAACUGGGCACCUCUGCAUCUUGGAUGGUGGCAGCACUGCUGCUGCUGGUGGCUGGGCUGCAGUGCAGUGGCUGCUAUUUUUGGCCCCUUCACUAACUCAGCAUCUGAGGCUUGUGCCCUGGUUGCCCUCCCUGAGCUAUGCUGCCAAGAGAAGCAUUGCUGCAGUUGAGAGCCCUUAAUUUUGAGUCAUACCAGAAGUUGAAUAAAGCAGUGGAAAUGGAGAAAUUUCAAGAGAGAAAGAUUGCUGAGUUGGCUUUGGAGUUGUAUUACAAUGAGCGAACCAGUGUUGAAACCCAUUUUGGCAAAUUUGCAUACCGUCCCCAUCUAUGAGCCAGGUAAUAUCCCUUGUUGCCAAUUUCAGAAAAACAGCAAUGUGGCCAAUCAACAUCCACUGAACUUUUAUCCUUUACUGUCUUCAUAAUUAAAAACCAAAAGGAAUCACUGGAUGGAUUUAAAAAAAAUAAAAAUAAACAACCUCACCGAGGAACUGGCAGCAGAGGCUAAUUAUUUAAACGGCGGUAUUAGCUGCUGAAGAAUCCCUGGCCAUAGCUCAGACUGUUAAAUAGUGGAUACAUUCCUGCGACUGAAUCAGAGACAGAGGGAAUAGAGAACAUGAGUCUAGAAGAGGAAGAAAAAUGGUAUUUUUAAAAGAGAAAUAAUUAAAACAAAACUGUGGCCCAUCUUCUUGAAUACUUACACCUGUGGCACUGCACUGACCUUCACCCCUCCUCCUCACCAAAUCUUUGUCUAGUAACGGGAACUUAAUAAGCUUUUACAUUAGAUAUGUGUAAGGCUAUUUGCUGUAAUCAUAACAACAGUGAACAGUGACAACCCAGAACCUAAACUGGCACAUCUAAAUACAGACAUGAUCUACAACUAGUGCAUUCAUUACAAUAUUGGUCACCAACUAAGAAAAAGAUGCUUCCGAGUCAUGUUCCUUGAACCAACUAUCAUAGAUUGAUGCUGUGGUGGCUUGAACAGUGUUAUAGAGGUAGAUUGCUGGUGUCUCCACUCUACAAUCCUUCCAUUUGUGAAGGGGAUAAGGAAUCAGUGAGAUGAGGAUUAAAACUCCAAAUUUUCUUCUGUUGAUUAGAUAUAUAAAAGACACUUACCAUUGGGCCCAGAUACUUAUGGUACUUGUUUUAAUACUUUGAGGGCCAAAAUUUGGAAUUUAAUCACUACAGUUUGUAAAGUCGGUUCAUUGAGAGAAUAAUUUCUAUCAUCUUAUAAGGGGAAAAGCUCCUCUUUUUGUUCUGUAUAGUGCUGAGCACAGUGAGGUCCUGGUGUGAAUGGGGCUCCAAGUAGCACACUUUCCUCCAUACUUCCCCUUUUCUAGGAGGAGUUCUUUGCUACAGUGCUUAAAAAAUCUGGAUGAUAAUUAGGCUGCUGCUGAGCUCUGAGUGCUCCUUAUCAUGACCAGUAUUGUCUCAUUGUGUCCAUUUGCCGCCCUGCCUGCCUUUCUCCAUCUAAUGUCUCUUGUUUUGCACGUGAAGUGAAACUCGUUGGGGCAAGGACUGUCCCCCCUUCCCAACCUACAGGGAAGGUGGAGGUGUUGUUUUAUGUUCAUACAGUGCUAGGACACAAUGGAGUUUUUGUGCAUGAUCAGAACUCCUAGGUAUUGUGCUAAUAUAUUUGAAUAAAUGAUAGUAUUUGAUCAUGUUCAUAUGUCUGUUCUUCUGAAAUGAAGGCAGUUCCUUUCAUUUUAAAAGCCUAGGGGUACCUUAUCAGACACGAGAUACAGUGAGUGAGUUUAGGAAAUGUUGUCCGUUGUGAUGGUUUCUGCCACUUCCAGCAGGGUUCCUCCUUAUAGCAAUAGGGAAUCAUUAUCAGACCACUAGAAUGUGUCAGAAAGGGAAAAAAAAAAUCUUUUAAAAUGUGCUCAAUAUGUACAGCUGCUGAAACAUCUGUGCUGAACAUGAUGACACAAGCUGUAAUCAUGGCAGUUGGGGAGGGGAUAUAAUAAAGAGAGGUUAAAGAACAGGCUAAAUUAGCUCCCUGGAUUGUUGGUCCCAAACAGUGAUAAGUAUCCUGGAAGUAAAGCACAAUGGCACAAUGAGCAAUGUGUGCACUACUCGGGCUCUUGGAGUCAGCUGGCAGAACCUCAAAAGUCAGUGGAGCCAGACUUGCAAUACCAGGCAGCCCUCCUGAAGGAUUUUAAAAUUGCCCUUUGAAAUCUGAAUCUCCUGGGUACUAUUACCACUACCGGGCUUCUAGGGAUUCCUGGGACCCCUGUGGGUUGAAGGCGAAUGUAUUUUGCACCUCCAUGUGUUUAUGAGGGAACUGGCAAAGCAUGUAUUAGUUUAUCUUUCUUCCUGUAGGACAUCAUUCUGUAGGCACUGUAGAGGCAAGAAUCUCUCUGAAUUCAGUUAGGUGAAUACUCAGAAUUUAGACCCCAGUUUUGCAAGCCUUCAUCAUUUCAGUAAGGACUAUUCUGACAAAUAAGACUUUGCAGGGUCCAUCUUUUGAAUGAGACCUUUGCCUAGUGAGUUCAGAAGGCCUUUUCCCUCCCUCGUUUAAGGACCAAGACAGAAGGGACCCCACUCCCCUAACAGCACUUUUAAGUAUGGCUCAACAGGUGGGUUUUCCAAAGUCCUAACUGCUCACAAACAUUUCUGGAAAUGGUGAUAUGAGGAGUAACAUUUUAUUCUCUGUCCUGGAGCUGUAGAAGGAAAAAAAAUCCCUGCAUUGUGUUAAGAAACUGUAUAAGAACCUAAAUAGAAUAGAAUAGAGAUCUCCCAUCAUCAAAACAGCAUUAUGCCAAAACCCUUUCUAGGGAAGUGAAAUUUACACAGCAGCACAGCCCUACUUAAAAAUAGAACAGCCCUGCCGUGUGAGUAACAAAAAUACAUAACAACGUACUCUUGCAAUUUGAGCUUUGAAGGAUGUCUGUCAUAUGCCUAGUCUUAUUUUACGCCCCUUCCCUUUUUCAAAAGAGGAACAAUGCCAUCUUCCCGAAAGGAAAUAGGCAAUAAAAACUCCAGCAGGAUUUCCUAUUCAUAAUUUUUCCCAUUCAUAUCCUAAUGGGUGAGGGGAAGAAAAAACAGCUUUAGCAACUUAAAUAGCCCUUAUUAAAUUGAUAUUUUUACAUGCCUGUUUUUUCCUAAAUGUGGUAUAUAGUUUUAUAGUUCAGUUAAGUCUUCCCAACCCCUCCCCUCCCAAGAUAUCCUUCAUGGAAUUGGUUGAAUUCUGUGUGAGAUGAUGUA